GUUUUUAGGCGCUGCAUUAUAAAUUUCUCGGAACCACGCCGGUCGAUGCUCCUGCACGCCAUCAAGAAGUGCUUCCACUUGCUCUUCAUCCGAUGUUUUUAGUUCCUCAAACCAUGGGAGGAAACUAUCCAGAAUUUUUCAAACCAUUGAAAGGACGGACCGGUGAAUGCACCGAUUACUCUGCGACACGUUGUCUCAUCAUUCCAGUUAUUCGUGGCUCUACAUUGUUCAACAUUCAUGAGCCACCUUUGAAUUUUUUCCGGCCAUUCCUCCAGCUGAGGAUUUCUGGACAAAGAUUCAUUACUCGCCGUGCUACUAGGGCGACGGUGUUCAUCCUCCAUUAGGGCAUCAUCCAUUAGUUCAUUUUCUGUAUCGGAACUAUCCCUAUUUUCUGUUCCUCGCAUCUGGCGACCAGAUUCGUCAGCUGUUCUUUUCAGAAUUUGUUGGCGUAAGUCUGUUGAGCCAUUUUUCCUCUGUUUGGCAGGUGCCGUUUCCCUUGGAAUUUGACUUUCUGAGGCUGAACGCGGCAUGGCCUGAGCCUCCGAGAAUUCGACUCGUGAUUCCUGUCUAGGCCUGCGCAAGAUGCCAGCUGGAUUACUACCAGUAGCUAAAGGCUGAUCCACGUAUGACGAAAAAUUUUGGGGAUUAAAUGGUGUAAAGGGGGAAGGACGUAAUACAUCUCCUGUCGCUACCGGCGCUUCCCUUUGAAAGUAUCCUUCACCGCCACCAAGAGCAGCAUCUGUAUUUCGAAGCCGACGAAGUUCGUCAUAUGCUUGCUUUAGAUCCACUUCCAUCUUGUCAACAGACCCUGCAACCUCUCAAUUUCCUUUUGGGACGCAUCAUCCUUUUCCUUGGGAAUAUGCA